AAAUAUGAAGUAAAUAUUACAAUUUAAUUUCGACUUAAAUUUUUGGUUAAAUUUAACCCAUAUUUU
rnacentral:tRNA from 1 species